rnacentral:ncRNA from 1 species
UAUUUUAGAAUCAGGCCGGGGCGUUCGCGCGCCCCGAUGACCCGGUCGUACAUCCAGCCGGUUGCCUGGUUCCUUGCAUUGAAGCGAUGUACGGAGUCUAUAGAGC